UACGUAGGGACCAAGCGUUGUUCGGAUUUACUGGGCGUAAAGGGCGCGUAGGCGGCGUGACAAGUCACUUGUGAAAUCUCUGGGCUUAACCCAGAACGGCCAAGUGAAACUGUUGUGCUAGAGUGCAGAAGGGGCAAUCGGAAUUCUCGGUGUAGCGGUGAAAUGCGUAGAUAUCGAGAGGAACACCUGCGGCGAAGGCGGGUUGCUGGGCUGAUACUGACACUGAGAGACGAAAGCUAGGGGAGCGAAUGGG
rnacentral:rRNA from 1 species